UAUUGUGAUGCUAAUGAAAAUUGUUAUUAUGACUCUGUUUUGCAGAUCAUACGUCUUUUUAUUUAAAUUAAGGAACAUCACGGGAUUCACAUGGCUUUCUAGUUUUUGAGCAAUAUAAAUAAAUUACGGAUUGAGUCAGCAGAUCCUACAGAAGAUGCUCCUGAAAUGCAUCAUGUGGAAGGGGCAUUUGUUGAAACAUUAUUACCAAAGGCUAAAUCUCCCCCUCAAGAUGCUUUA